rnacentral:rRNA from 1 species
GACGAACGCUGGCGGCGUGCCUAAUACAUGCAAGUUGAGCGCUGAAGGUUGGUACUUGUACCAACUGGAUGAGCAGCGAACGGGUGAGUAACGCGUGGGGAAUCUGCCUUUGAGCGGGGGACAACAUUUGGAAACGAAUGCUAAUACCGCAUAAGAACUUUAAACACAAGUUUUAAGUUUGAAAGAUGCAAUUGCAUCACUCAAAGAUGAUCCCGCGUUGUAUUAGCUAGUUGGUGAGGUAAAGGCUCACCAAGGCGAUGAUACAUAGCCGACCUGAGAGGGUGAUCGGCCACAUUGGGACUGAGACACGGCCCAAACUCCUACGGGAGGCAGCAGUAGGGAAUCUUCGGCAAUGGACGAAAGUCUGACCGAGCAACGCCGCGUGAGUGAAGAAGGUUUUCGGAUCGUAAAACUCUGUUGGUAGAGAAGAACGUUGGUGAGAGUGGAAAGCUCAUCAAGUGACGGUAACUACCCAGAAAGGGACGGCUAACUACGUG